GAGCACUGGUUUAUUUCUAAUACAACAGGAAAAACGUUUCCACUAGCUAUGCCCAAACCAUUCCAUUUUGAGGUCUCCUUUCCAGGUACAAUGUUGCACAUGAGCUUAGCUGUGCAGAAAUUUUACAAAGUCUUUAUCCUGUAUCUAAGGUCACUACAGAAACAAAGAAGCACUUUGGCAAUUCAUCUGACUUAGGCCCUCCAAAGAAGAAAAUCCUACUAUGCUUCCUGUUUUCUUCCCAGAUGUUUCCCCUAAAUUCCUGCAACUGAAAGCUAGAGCUUAUGAAGCACCAGGACCCAGAAAGACUGACUCCUCACCGCUUUCCAUCUCCUGAUCUUGUUUACAUGUGUUUGUCUGCAAAAGUUUUAAUGGAAUAAGAGAAAACGAGCGCUUGAAUUUCCCAGUAAAAUCUGUGCCGCAGCAUGA